rnacentral:rRNA from 1 species
AGUCCGUGAGGGAAAGUUGCAAAGCACUUUGAAGAGAGAGUUAAAGAGGACGUGAAACCGGUAAGGUGGAAACGGAUAGAGUCGGCGUAUCAUUCAUGUAUUCAGUUACAUUAUUUUUAUGUUGUGACCUCUGAGCUCCAGAUUGGGACAGAGGGAAUCAGCAUAAUUUUUUGUGGUGCUUUUACUUGAUUGGUGCUUGGGGAUGUUUGAGGCAGAUUUGUUUCCGUCGUUUUGAGGCCAGCUUGCUGGUACCCAAACGGUGUUAGCAUUUUUUGUCUUGGGCAUUUGAGUAUGGCUCACGUGUAUUUAUUGGACAGAUCUGAGUGUAAGUUACGGUCGCAUGCGACACGUGCUUUUCAAUUAGUUCGGUCCAGUUAAUGCUCUCGUACUCGUUUCCCAUGUAAAAGCCGGUCAUCUAUCCGACCCGUCUUGAAACACGGACCAAGGAGUUUAUCGUGUGCGCAAGUUUUUGGGUGUUAAAAACUUAAAAGCGAAAUGAAAGUAAAUGACUCUUUAGAGUCUGAUGUGCGAUCUUGUAAAAAAGUGUAGCAUGGCCCCAUUCUAACUGUUUACAGUAGGGUGGCGGAAGAGCGUACGCGGUGAGACCCGAAAGAUGGUGAACUAUUCCUGAGCAGGACGAAGCCAGAGGAAACUCUGGUGGAAGUCCGAAGCGGUUCUGACGUGCAAAUCGAUCGUCUGACUUGGGUAUAGGGGCGAAAGACUAAUCGAACCAUCUAGUAGCUGGUUCCUUCGGAGGA